UCUCGCUGGUAAGUGGUUUUGGAUAUUUGGGGACAGUGUAAUGACAUUUUCAGACUUCAUCUGUUUGGAGAACAGAAUCCUGUUGUCCUUUGCUCUCUGGUGUCAGUGCAGCUCUGCUGGAGGACACUGGGUGCUGGAGCAGUGACCAGGCAGCAACUGUCUCUGCAGUUGCAAGGGGACUGUCCCCCACCCUGGAGGGACCUCUGAGGGGCUGUCAUCUUUACCAGUACAGCACAGAGCAGCGAGGAGUGAGGAGAGCACCAGGGAAGCCGAUGCUCCAGCGCCUUCGUUAUGGAUGGAGAGGUCCCUGCACAUCCCAUGGCAUGCACUGGGAAAUGGCAGUCGGGCCGGGGAAUGCUCUGUCCCAUGGCCUCGCCCAUGCCCGUGCCCCCCGGCGGGUCCUGCCCAGGUUCCCUCGGCAGAGCAGGCUUUCACAGCAGACACCCCGCCAGGGCUGGGCUGCUAGAGGGCACCCUGGGCCGUCCCACAGUGCACCCAUGGGUGGGACAGGCUGCUCCAUGGUUCCUCUGCACACACCACACAGCUCAUUGCCACCAGCAUGCUGCAGGGUGGGUGUCUGGAGGCAGGGCUGCAGCAUCCCCUCUGCGCUUGAGCAGGGACAGAGGGACUGCUGGGAGGUCCCUGGAAGGUUUUAUGGCUGCUGUGGGUUCCUUUUCACCCAUGACUCAUCCCAAGCAGGGAAGGAGUGAUCUUUUCCCCUUCAUCUGGCUGGAAAAGCUGGAUGGGGCUCCUGAAUCCCUGGGUUGGAGGUGCAUGUUGCAAGGCUGCAGAGGGAGCAACAGCAUCUCCACGGGGAAGUCCUUCUGCAUGGGAAGUGCUCCUUUCUUUAAGUUAUGACCCCAGAUUUACUGAUGUGUAGAUGUGGGUCCUAUCCCCGUUAUCCGUCUGGUUGCUCUCUGGAGAGGGAUCUCCCACUGGGUGAAACUCUCUCUGCAUGGUCAGGGUGGGAUCCCAGUGUCCCUGCCCACCCCGUGCUGGGGCUGGGGUCCUGUGAUCAAUCUGACCUAACUCCAGCUAGCUGAUAUCCACAAAGCUGAUUGCCAUGGGUGUACUGGGAGAUGGGGGAGAGGAUCCUGCAGCUUGUUUGAGACCUGGAGAAGCCCUGAGGAGGCCGGUCUCUCUCAGGACUGCUGAGGGAGCUGGGGCUUUUUCUGCCUCAUUUUUCAGAUGGGAUCUGCAUUGCUCAUCCCACUUUCUGCCCAGUUGUGCUGCAAAUCCUGUCGCUCACCCUUCCCUUCUCCCUCACCACCCCAGCCUGUCUGUCCUAGGUGCUGGGUGGUGGUUAAUGUCUUCAUUGAUGAUCUGGAUGAGAGGAUCGAUGGCACACUCAAUAAAUUUGUAAAUGACA